GGAUUUGGCUUAGCAGCUGGUUUAGGGUGAGGCAUAAGAUUGCUGAGUGGCUUAGGGUAUGUCUUAGGGUAUGAGUAUGAGUGUGGGAUAAGGCACAUGUUAAGAUGUGAGUAUGGGUUCAGAGUUAGGGUGUAUGGUGGGGUACAUGUUAGGGAACAUGUUAAGAUAGUGUUUGGGUUUAAGGUACAUUAGGGUACAUGUUAGGGCAUGCAUUUGGGGUAGGUUUGGGGUACAUGUUAGGGUGAACAUAAACCUUUAUGGUUUAAAAUACAUGUUAGGGUGCUUGAUUCUGUACAUAUUAGUGGUUAGGGUAUACAUUAGGGUACAUGGUACAGUUAUGGUAAGUGUUUGGGAUUGUUAGGGUUAAGCUAUGUAUUAGGGUUAGAUAUGUGUAAGAGUACAUGUUAG